rnacentral:rRNA from 1 species
UACGGAGGAUGCAAGCGUUAUCCGGAAUGAUUGGGCGUAAAGCGUCCGCAGGUGGCUAUGUAAGUCUGCUGUUAAAGAGUGAGGCUCAACCUCAUAAAAGCAGUGGAAACUACAUGGCUAGAGUGCGUUCGGGGCAGAGGGAAUUCCUGGUGUAGCGGUGAAAUGCGUAGAUAUCAGGAAGAACACCGGUGGCGAAAGCGGAUCUCUGGGCCUUACCUGACGCUGAGACGCGAAAAGCGUGGGG